GCCGGAAUAGCUCAGCUGGGAGAGCAACAGACUGAAGCCAGUGGUGUUAUCUGGAGGUCCCGUGUUCAAUCCACGGUUCUGGCA
rnacentral:tRNA from 1 species